rnacentral:sRNA from 1 species
UGCAUCUUUGGCCUGUGAGGAUGAGAACCUCCGGGGGCAGGAGGUUCGACUCGAGCGCAGCGAGAGAACGUUGCGUCAGCAACGGCCCGCAGGGCGAGCCACGUAGUGGCGAGUCAUCCUCUAUCACCGACCA